rnacentral:lncRNA from 1 species
AAGAACGUAAGGGCCUUUUCGAAGUUCUUGAGCAAAGAGGCCGAAAGACUGUAGGCAAAGCGAAGCCAAGUGUGGUGAACCACGAGGAUUCUGUUCGAGUAAAGUUAGAAUAUGGACAAAAGAGUGACAUAAAUUCUUGCCAACAGAAUGUACCAACGAGUGCAACGGUUCAAGAUAAGAGGCGACGGAAGCCGAGACAUAAGUUCCGAAGGAAAGGACAACCCGAUUGCAAGACAAGUCGGGAAGAAGCCGAGGCAACGAGAAAGUUUCAAGGUGAAUCAAGUCAGUGUCAUCCAAAAGUCGCAACGAGGGUGUUAC